GAGAGAGAAAGAGCAGAAGCUAGAUUUCAAAGAGCGUUGAGCCAGAAUGGAGGAUAGAGAGAAAGGGGAGUGUGAAAUAAUUUUAGGAAUUUGGCUAUGAAGAAGAGAUGAGGCGGACAAUAUUCUCUUUAGUUCUCCGGAUAAAAUGAUGCAAUCGUGUUCAUAUCCUAAAGAAGAAAGAAGCUGCUAGAGGAGAAGAGGCUGAAGGCACAGAGAGGAAUUACACGGCUCCAUGGAUCAUGCAGAGUGAGGUCCCUGCUGAAGUCCGGGAGGAGUGGGCUCUGGGAGUGGGGGGAGCACUGGCAGGGGUAGGAGCACCACCCACUGAGCGGCAAGGAAGGAAGGAUGUCAGGGUCACCCGGAAGGAGAGGGACACUUGAGAGAGUUUAACUGAAGAGACUGGACUAAAAGUAUGGACAAAGGAGGGCGAGGAAACCUAGGGACAAGGAAAAAAGUGCAGGUGUUUCUCCGGCUUCUCCCCUUGAUCAUAAUUGCAAGCUGGCAGCGUGAGACAGAGAGAAGGAGAAAGAAACACAAACGCAUUUAGUGAAGCUGGGAGCUCUCUUCAGUCCCACACAUGAAGAGAAGACUGAAAACUUCUUUAGUGGAAUGCAUAGAACGAGCCUUAAAUGCCUGCUGAAGACGGGUUCAUCCUGCAGAACGUGGAAUUGCUCAGGGCUUGAAGGCCUUGAAGACAGGAGAAGGGUGCAGACAGGAAAACGGUGGGAAUUGGUGAAAGUCUGUGUGAAAACUGCAGGGCCCCAGGCCUCCACCCGCACCGGGGGAGCCACACACCCGCCCUUUUGCCGUGGGCUCUUUUCCGAAAGGCCGGAGUUGUUUCCCAAGCCUGGCUUGGCCUCGAGACUCGCUUUAACCGAUAGAAUGUUGUAGAAAUGACGUGGCACCAACUCUGAGCCCAGGACACGAGGCCUCCUCUGGCCUCCACUCACUCUCUGGGAACCCCACUGGCCUCCAUGUGAACCAGCCCCUGGAUGAGGGGGACAGAGGGCCCUUCCUGCCCCGUCACAGAACAAAGCAUCCAGCCACCUGCAGCUGACCACAGGUCAUGAAUGAGCUGGACAAGCCGCCCAGAAGAGCCUGUCCUUCAUCGCUGACCCACAGGAUCUUAAGCUAAAUAAAUGGUUGUGUUUCUUUAAAACCACUAUGUUUUGGGGUGGGGUUUUUUUUCAUGCAAAAAAGUUGACAGAUUCACCUUCGUGGGAAACUAGAAGUUUAUUCUCUGGAGAAAUUGAACCAGAAAGCCUCUUGACUCAGGGUCGCCAGGUAAGGCAGUGGGUAGGGGCGAGGUUUGGACCUGAGAACGCGGAGACUGAUGAGGGGCGCAUGCCUCUACCUGGUUCUUGCCCAUGGCCCGGAUCCAGGGCCCCAGCGUCAGGGCAUUGUCUCCCAGGAAGGAGACCAGAGCAGCCUCUCUGCAGGAGCCCAGGGAGCCCAGAGGACCCUAAACAGAGACAUGAUGUGGGAGGACCGCGUCAACCUGCGCCCAGUGGGCUACUGUGUCACCAGACCCGAGGGGACCUUCCAGCGACAGCAAGAAAAGUCACAGAUGUUAGAAAGCCCAGCUUCCAGCCCGGUCACACCGCCCUCCACCACCUCCAUGCAGAAAUGUCAGGCAACCUUCAGGUGCGUUGCUCCCAAAUACUAAAGAACUUCCAAGUGCAGGAGAAGAAAAAUCCUUCCUUUACCCUCUUAGGCUCAGUAACUGAGGCUUUUAAGUCAAACUGAUAAAAGACAGAUUAAGAAGAGAAAAAAACAGAGUUUAUCUAGGCACGCAAUGUGCAGACACAUGGGAGAACCCAGUGAUGAGUGACUCAAAGGGGUGGUUAGAAUUUAGGGCUUUUAUACCAUCUUAACAAAGGGUGAUAAAUCAUGGAGAGGUGACAAGACAAAGGAGAAGGCGUGUGGGCUUCUAGGGGCCGUAAACUGUGGGAUGGGAUAUAUAUGGAGAAACUAACGGAAGAUGAGGGUUGCUUAGUCAGCUUUGUCAUGCAGACCCAUCUCGGCUCUGACUUUCCAGUGAUAACGGCUGUUGGUUGUGAGAAUGGUCUCGGGAGCAUCUUCAAAAAGGAGAGUUUAUACCCACCCUUUAGGCAGAAGGGGGAGCACAGGGAGCUUUUCCUGAAUCUGCCGUUUCUCAAUUUUCUUCCACUCAAAAUAACCCCUUUGCCCAAGUGGCCUGUUUGGGGUGGUCUCUGCUGACUCCCUUCACAGGGGUAACCAGAUAUUUGAAAAGAGCCCAUAACAUGAAAAGCAGAGAAGAAAACCAUCAUCACAGGAAAAAGAAAAGGACACAAAAUAGACAUCAACAAUGUGGACAGUAAAAGACAACUUCAGAAACACCUGUAAUUAAUAUGUUCAGGGAUAUAAGAGAAAAUACUGAACCAAGG
rnacentral:lncRNA from 1 species